AUGACGCACACGGACAUAUUGGGUCAUAGAACGGGCCAGCCAUGGGUGAGUGAGGAAUCGUACCACCAUAUGGCCAAAGUGGACGGACGACGGAUGGACCACAAACGGACGACAGACGGACCAAAUCCUAUGAUCGAGUCGAGUGGUGCUUUUUGGAAGCCAUGUUGUGCACCGUGCCUAUCACACCUCCUGUUCGCGGCCGAUUCCAUGCUCUUGAUGAAUGCAAACCAGCAGGAGGCAGCGGCCUUGCAUGAUGUGCUUCAGCUCUACGAGGAUUGUUCCGGCCAAUGCAUAAAUGUCGAGAAAUCUGUUGUCAUGUUCAGUCCCAACACAAGUGGUACAGAUAGGAACUCUGUCAAAAAUAUGCUGGGAAUACAUAGUGAAAAUUGGAAUGAAAAAUACCUGGGCCUACCGGUGCAUGUGGGACGCUCUAGGAGACGAGCCUUCGGCUACAUCAAGUGA
rnacentral:rRNA from 1 species